UAAGGUUAUCUAGACGAUUGUACAGUCUAGAUGUAUAGCCUAGAGAGUCCAGAGCUCAGAGUCAGUUCAAAUAAAACUAUUUAACUAAAAUGCUCCUCAAUUUUUAAAUUCUUCCCGGACAAACAUCAUCCAGUUGAAUCGAAUCCUAAUGCGAAACCCAAUUCGAAUCGAAUGACUAAAGAUAAUAGUCGCCCAUAAGAUGAUGCUGAAGAUGUUUCUGUUUUCGCUAUCGUUGCCGUCAUAAAUGGACUAUCAGUAGCCGAAUCGCGCCCAACCGUGUCCAGUCGUUGAUGGUGUUACAUUUCCCUCAAAUUCAGCAUUUCGGCUAUGAUAGCUACUGCAAACGCUUUCAGCUCUCGCGGAUCAUUGAAAACCGCCCUGAUGACAGGAUGAUGUACCGCUGAAUGCCCAUGGUAUUGAGUUCUUCCCGGACAAACAUCAUCCAAUUGAAUCGAACCGAAUCGAAUGACUAAAGAUAAUAGUCGCCCAUAAGAAGAAUGUACUGAAGAUGUUGCUGCUGUCAUAAAUGACUAUCAGCAUCAAUAGAACCCAUAAAUCUGUUGCUCAUUAAGUCUUUUCGUAAAGAGUCCAAGACCAAGAUAUUUUCGAUCGCUAGCCUUGCCUUCGUCACCUCAAGCCCCUUGACCUCUGCGGCCAGCUCUUGCUCCUUGCAGCGGAAUUCUGCCUUCUUCAUUCUAAAGUACCUUAUGCGCUCAUCUCGCCGCCGCC